AAAAUAUCCAUUUUUUGUAUAUAUGUAAAAUAUCCAUUUUUUGUAUAUAUGUAAAAUAUCCAUUUUAUAUAUAUAUGUAUUCUGGAUAUUUACACUUUAUCAGUUAUAUGGAUUACAAAGAUCUUUCUUUUUUUCACUUUAUGGUAUCUUGAUGAACAGAAAAGUUCUUAAUUUUAAUGUAGUUGAAUCUAUCAGUCUUUUCCUUUAUGUUGUGUGGUCUUAAUACCUUUCUUAAAACAAGUCCCUUCAUUACUCAAAGUCAGAGAGAUAUAUUUUCUUUUAUCUUAGAAUAAGAGAUAUUUUUGUGCCUUAUGUUUAAUGGUUUUGCCCAUGAUUUUUUAUUCAUGCUGUGAGUUAGGAAUUGUUUUGAUUUUGUAUUGCUGAGAAACAAUCUACCCCAAACUUUAGUGACUUAAAGUAACCAUUUUAUUUUACUCAUGGGUUUUGUGGCAAGCAUUUAGAAAGAGCUCAACUAGUAGUUUUUCUCUUCCAAUAAAGGUGGUGUCAGUUGGGCUAGAAGAUUUACUUCUAAGAUGGCUUCUUUCUCUGCUCACAAAUGUGUCUUUGUGCUGCUUGACCUCUCUUUCUACAUGAGGUUUCAUUCUCUAGGUUAUCUCCAUGUGGGUUGUGCUUCUUGUAGCGUGAUGGUCUUAGGGUAGUCGGUGCCACCUCUGGGCUGGAGGCCAACCAACACAAAACCAGUCACUAAACAAAACUACAACCAAGGACCCUCACAGAGUCCACUUCACUCCCCUGCUACCCUCACCUGAGCAGAUGCUGGUAUCCAUGGCUGAGGGACCUGAAGACAGAUCACAUCACAGGAAUCUUGGCAGACACUCCCCAGUACCAGUCCAGAGCCCAGUAUGCACUGGGUGGCUAGACCCAGAAGAGAAAUAACAUAAUCACUGCAAUUUGGGUCUCAGAAAGCCCAUCCUUAGGGAAAAGGGGAGAGUACCACAUCGAGGUGUUAUGGGGGGGGUCUUUGUUCUUAGAGCUCCCAAGAUGUGGCGGUUCGCUCCCAAGAUGGCAGCAAGCCUUUUGUUCUCUGACCUGGGAUUCUUGGCUUCACGGAUUCUAAGGAAUGGAACCUUGGGCCAUGCGGUGAGUGUUAUAGCUCUAUUAGAAGCAGUGGAUCACGGAAGACAACUGUGGAACCCAGCAACUAGUGUUCAGCUCGAUUAGACGAACCCUGGGCCCUUAGCCAUGCAGGAACAAUGGCAGGCCUCUAGCCCUAUCAGGAGUGGCAAUGGGCGCCUCGCUGGGUUAGAAGCACAGCCAACACCCUCCCGGAUCUGGAGGGGUGGAAGUCAGUGGCGAGUCUGCGACAGUGGCAAACAACAGUGGUGGACGGCGAGCGAAAGCUCAGCUCGAGCUGUAACAAACGCGGACCAGAAGAGUGUGCAGUUGCAAGAUUUAAUAGAGUGAAAACAGAGCUCCCAUACAAUGGGAGGGACCCUAAGGGGGUUGCUGCUCCCUGCUGGAAUGCCUGGGUUUAUAUCCCAAUCAUUGUCCCUCCCCCUGUGCUCUAAGGCGAUAUAUGAUUUGACUAUUUCUUUACCUCCUGCUUUAGCCUAAUUUGUAUUUUAGUGAGCCCUCUUUACUACGUGAUUAGUUGGGUGUGAGCUGAGUUACAAGCCCCGUGUUUAAAGGUAGAUGUAGUCACCUUUCUCAGCUAGGCUUAGGAAUUCUUAGUCGGCCUAGGAAAUCCAGCUAGUGUUGUCUCUCAAAGGGAUCACCCCAUGGGACAAAAUAAUCUGAACAAUAGCCCUUGAUCCCCAGAUCUUCCCUUUGACAUAAUCUACACAAAUGAAAAGGAAGCAGAAAAACAAUUCUGGUAAUAUAACAAAACAAGGUUCUUUAACACUCCCCAAAAGAUUACACUAGUUCACCAGCAACGGAUCCAAACCAAGAAGAAAUCCUUGAAUUGCCAGAAAAAGAAUUGUGAAGGUAGAUUAUUAAGCUUCUCAAGGAGUCACCAGAGAAAGGGGAAGUUCAACUUAAAGAAAUUUAAAAAAUGAUACAGGAUAUGGAUGGAAAAAUCUUCAGAGAAACAGAUAGCAUAAAUAAAAAACAAUCACAACUUCUGGAAAUAAAGGACAAACUUAGAGAAAUGCAAAAUACACUGGAAAGUCUCAGUGAUAGAAUCAAACAAAUAGAAGAAAGAACUUCAGAGCUUGAAGACAAGGCUUUUGAAUUAACCCAAUCCAAUAAAGACAAAGAAAAAAAGAAUUAAAAAAGUGAACAAAGCCUCAAAGAAAUUUGGGAUUAUGCUAAAUGACCAAACCUAAGAGUAAUUGGUCUUCCUGAGGAAGAAGAGAAAUCUAAAAGUCUGGAAAACAUAUUUGAGGGAAUAAUCAAGGAAAACUUCCCUGGCCUUGCCAGAGAUCUAGACAUCCAAAUACAAGAAGCUCAAAGAACAUCUGGGAAAUUCAUCGCAAAAAGGUAAUCACCUAGGCACAUAGUCAUCAGAUUAUCUAAAGUCGAGAUGAAGGAAGGAAUCUUAAGAGUUGUGAGGCAAAAGCACCAGGUAACCUACAAAGGAAAACCUAUCAGAUUAACAGGAGAUUUUUAGCAGAAACCCUGCAAGCUAGAAGGGAUUGGGGUCCUAUCUUUAACCUCCUUAAACAAAAUAAUUAUCAGCCAAGAAUUUUGUAUCCAGUCAAACUAAGCUUCAUAAACAAAGCAAAGAUACAGUCUUUUAAAGACAAAUGCUGAGAGAAUUUGCUACUACCAAGCUACUAUAAGAACUGCUAAAAGGAGCUCUAAAUCCUGAAACAAAUGCAUGAAAUACACCAAAAUAGAACCUCUUUAAAGCAUAAAUCUCACAGGACCUAUAAAACAGUAAAACAGUGAAAAAAAACAACAAGGUAUUCAGGCAACAAGUAGCACAAUGAAUAGAAUAGUACCUCACUUCUCAGUACUAACAUUGAAUGUAAAUGGCCUAAAUGCUCCACUUAAAAGAUACAGAAUGUGGCAGAAUGGAUAAGAAUUCACCAACCAAGUAUCUGUUAUUUUCAAGAGACUCACCUAACACAUAAGCACUCAUAUAAACUAAAGGUAACGGGGUAGAAAAAGAUAUUCCAUGCAAAUGGAUGCCAAAAGCGAGCAGGAGUAGCUGUUCUUAUAUCAGACAAAACAGACUUUAAAGCAACAAUAGUUAAAAAAGACAAAGAGGAAUAUUAUAUAAUGAUAAAAAGGACUGUUCCAACAGAAAAAUAUCACAAUCCUAAAUAUAUAUGUACCUAACACUGGAGCUUUCAAAUUUAUAAAACUAUUACUACUAGACCUAAGAAAUGAGAUAGACAGCAACACAGUAAUUGUGGGUGACAUGGUUUGGCUCUGUGUUCUCACCCAAAUCUCUUCUAGAAUUGAAAUCCCUACAAUCCCCAUGUGUUGAGGGAGGAACCAGGUGGGAGGUGAUUGGAUCCUGGGGACAGUUUUCCUCAUGCUGUUCCCCUGAGAGUGAGUUCUCAUGAGAUCUGAUGGUUUUAUAGGGCAAUUUUCUCUGCUCUUGUUUGCUCUUUCUCUCCUGCUGCCUUGUGAAGAAGGACACGUUUGCUUCCCCUUCUGCCAUGAUUGUAAGUUUCCUAAGGCCUCC
rnacentral:lncRNA from 1 species